GUUUGGUGUUUUGACCUUCUUCUUCCUUUCCUUUCAGAUUGGCAUGUUCCCAAGUGUCAUUGAUGGUGUCGCGGUGCUCAUCCACGGUGCUUGUCCAUAGUUCUUCACAGGAAAAUAAUAAAUCUUUGUCUCUUCCAUGAAAUUGUUCCAUAUUAAGGUUGUCAUUUCCCUCGUGAACCACUGUGGUAUUUGGUUUAUUGGGUGGGUUUCGUUCGUGGAACGUUGGAUUCUUUUGACCAUGGAGGAUAUCUAUAAUGAGUAAGGAUAUCGAAGAUGGUAAUGGCUCCAUUGAAAAUAAGGUAUGAAGAUGGUUUUUGUAAAGUUACUAUUUUGAUGAAGAUAUGAAAACUGAAGAUGUUAAGGAAGGUGAAAAGGAGCUAAGGUUGAAAAUAAAGACGUAAAGGAUUUUGAAGAAAGCAAUAUGUAUGCUCGAAUGAAGUAUCAACAACAGUUAUGUUUUAAGGGGGUGUCAAUUCAUACUCCACUUGCAACAUAUUACAGAAAAAAGUAUCAUAAAUAGAUGUUUGUACUUCUUUAUUUGAAAUUUGUCAAGACAAUUUAUGCUCUUUUUUCAUUAGUAAGAGAUGGAAGACCUUGUUAGGAAACUUCAGUUUAUUUUGUUAAUGGAUUAUUAUGUUGAAGAAGUCAGUUUGUAUAACACAUUCAGUUAUGUAUUUACAAAAUCAGUC